GCAGGGCGCGGUGGCGCACGCCUGUGAUCCCAGUGGUUGGGGAGGCUGAGGCAGGAGGAUCACGAGUUCAAGGCUAGCUCCGGCAAAAGCAUGGCGUAAACAACUCAAUGAGACUCUGUCUCUA
rnacentral:sRNA from 1 species